rnacentral:rRNA from 1 species
GACGAACGCUGGCGGCGUGCUUAACACAUGCAAGUCGAACGGUGAAGCGCCUUCCUUUUUGGUGGGUGUGGAUGAGUGGCGAACGGGUGAGUAACACGUGAGUAACCUGCCCCCUUCUUCUGGAUAACCGCAUGAAAGUGUGGCUAAUACGGGAUAUUCUGGGUCUGUCGCAUGAUGGGUCUGGGAAAGAUAUUGUUUCGGUGGGGGAUGGGCUCGCGGCCUAUCAGCUUGUUGGUGGGGUGAUGGCCUACCUAGGCGGUGACGGGUAGCCGGCCUGAGAGGGUGGACGGUCACACUGGGACUGAGACACGGCCCAGACUCCUACGGGAGGCAGCAGUGGGGAAUAUUGCACAAUGGGCGCAAGCCUGAUGCAGCGACGCCGCGUGAGGGAUGGAGGCCUUCGGGUUGUGAACCUCUUUCGCCAGUGAAGCAGGCCUGCCUCGUUUGUGGGUGGGUUGACGGUAGCUGGAUAAGAAGCGCCGGCUAACUACGU